rnacentral:rRNA from 1 species
GACGUAGGGGGCGAGCGUUGUCCGGAAUUACUGGGCGUAAAGAGCACGUAGGCGGGAAUUUAAGUCAGAUGUGAAAGACCGGGGCUCAACUCCGGGGUUGCAUUUGAAACUGAAUUUCUUGAGGGCAGGAGAGGAAAGCAGAAUUCCUGGUGUAGCGGUGAAAUGCGUAGAAAUCAGGAGGAAUACCAGUGGCGAAGGCGGCUUUCUGGACUGUCCCUGACGCUGAGGUGCGAAAGCGUGGGUAGCAAACAGG